CCACGGGUGGCACCAGUGGGAAUAUUGCACAAUGGAGGAAACUCUGAUGCAGCAACGCCGCGUGGAGGAUGACACUUUUCGGAGCGUAAACUCCUUUUAUAUAGGAAGAAGAAGACGGUACUAUAUGAAUAAGCGCCGGCUAACUCCGUGCCAGCAGCCGCGGUAAUACGGAGGGCACAAGCGUUACUCGGAAUCACUGGGCGUAAAGAGCGUGUAGGCGGAUUAAAAAGUCAGAAGUGAAAUCCUAUAGCUUAACUAUAGAACUGCUUCUGAAACUCUUAAUCUAGAAUAUGGGAGAGGUAGAUGGAAUUUCUGGUGUAGGGGUAAAAUCCGUAGAGAUCAGAAGGAAUACCGAUUGCGAAGGCGAUCUACUAGAACAUUAUUGACGCUGAGACGCGAAAGCGUGGGGAGCAAACAGGAUUAGAUACCCUGGUAGUC
rnacentral:rRNA from 1 species